GUAUUACUCCCUCCGUCCCAUAAUUCUUGUCGCUAUUUUAGUUCAAAUUUGUACUAAAACAGCGACAAGAAUUAUGGGACGGAGGGAGUAGCAU
rnacentral:pre_miRNA from 1 species